CCAAGGAGUCUUGCCAGUGUUGUGCAAGGUGCCAUGUGGGGAGAGCGCUGGGAAAACAGCGACUUAACCUGGGAGAGCACAAGGAGUAGUGACGCAAAAGUCUAGGGAACAAUGCUCUGGGAACUGUUCUACUGGAAAGGGCUGUGCGAUGCACUAGUUUUGCAACACUGCCCUUCGAUGGGGCGUCAUCCACAUAUGCAGAGCCAGCAACUUUAGGCUGCUGCAGUGUGUCUUCCUACGGUCACAUCCUACACCCAUCUGGAGAUGGCAGCUACUGCAGGAACACAGCGACUGUCACAGCAGCUCUUAGCAGGAGCUUCUGCACAAGAGUCCCCGUGUUAGGAAAGAGGCUCCUCGUAAAGCCAAAUCUCGGAGAUACUGAAGUUUUGUGGAUCAUUAUGAUUUUUAAUCCCCAGAAGAAGGGAAGCAUCAAAAGGGAUUUCUGGAAGUGCUACGUGAUUAGUUUCCUACUGAGCAAAGUAUUUUCUUAUUGUAGAAAUUGAAUGGAUUUGUUAAUUGCAUUUUGGGUUAUCCAGGGCUCUGGAUAGAUUGUCCUUUACUCAAGGAAAUGUAAAUAAACACAGCUCCUCUGAACCCCUGCCUAGCUAAGCCAAAUUGAGAGCAACUCAUGUGAAUGGUACUGUGGGCUGAUGGUUACCGUAGGUACAUGGUGUUAGAGCUGGGCUCCAUUCUAUGCAGAAAUGGAGACUGGUCUGUAAAAUGGAUCAAAUAAUUCCCAGCUCCCUAAAGCACUUUGGAAGCAUGUUGUGGUUUCGAAUGGGUUUGCUGCGCUCUGUGUAAGAUAAGCAUACAGAUAAGCUUUAGAAACUGAGGGAGUAUUUUGAGUGCUAAAAGAAGGUUUUUUAGUACAAAAAGUACUCAAGCUCAAAUUGCAUCGAAUUCAUGUUUCACUCUAGGACUUAUUGAAAUUAUAGAAAAAGAAAAAACAAUAUAUCCCAGUCACAGUACUUUACAAAAUCUCAGAAGUAACCAAAAACAUCCGAUAAACACUGUGCUAUGCAAAAAAACUCAGUUUUAUUUCCAGACAACUAGAUAAGAUGAUCUUAACAGAGCUGUUAACUUGUGAGUAGAUCUGUAACUCUCUGUUAACAGUAACCACAUUAACUGCAUUUAGGGUAAAUGCAGAACACCAAACCGGCAGUGAUGCAUCACUUACACCCUAUCUAUAUUGUAUUUCAAGAGCAAGUGGUACUUGGCUAAUGGGUUGGCCUGGCAGCUCAAAAGCAAAUCUGCUUGCUGCACUGGUUUGUGUUUAGCAGCUUGAAGGGCAUCAGUGCUGUUUCCAGCUGUCUGGGAUACAUGCGUGCAAGCGGUGCCUUUGAUGAGAAUACACAUCUUGUUGAGAUAGGUUAAAACUGAAAGCUUGAGUGAGAUGAACCUGAGAGGGUUCCUGGCAGGGUUUCUUCUGCAACUCAGCUUCUUGAAUCAGCAGCUUGGAAACAAAUUGCAAAAUGGUCCUAACAGAUGUAAUUGCUGUAUGGGUUGAAGUGGCUAUCUGCGCAGGAGCCUCUGAUGUUGCACCGUUGUGCAGAAGUAGCGUCAUCUCUGUUUGCUCAUAAUCUGACUGAGGUGGGUGGGACUAAACUGUAUUGAGCCUCUGUCACUGCUUGGGUAGCGCAUGGCAGGGCACGCAUUUCACGUGGCACCUGCCACAACCACAUAGCCGCACAGCCUUCAUCUGGCCCCUUAGCCCCCCUUCUGCACUCGUCCUUACCCCCAUGCCAGGAGAAGUCUGACCUCACCUGUGGUGCCCUGCUGUGCUGCAGGCCAUGGCCUCCAUGGUGGGAAUCCCAUCCGACCUUCUCGGCCCCUGCUGUUCCUGCCCUGUGCCAUUCAGAAACUGUUAAUCAUCCUGAACUACUUACGGGUUUUGUGAUCUUAAACAGGGCUUGAACUGAACUUUCUAGAGGUGAAAACAUAAUGUCUUACUGUAAUUCAUUUUACCAGCCAAUCCUACCCUGAACCUAACAAUAUUUUAAUCACAAAAUCCAACCUCAAAACCCACAGAAUUUUCAGUUACUGUAUUUCAUCACCACAUGGCUCAAAACAACUCUUUUUUUUUUCUACCACCCUUGUUUUUUUACAGUGAAUCACAAACCAUGGAACUUAACAGACGGAAAAGACCCGGAGAAAUUCUCUCUCACUAAUCCUAGUGUAUAUAAGGAAUAAUAUAAUCAGAGUAAAAAAACAUCUUUUUACAGUCACACGGGUAUAGCAGAGUUCUAGGAGUCAGCCUCCUCUUUGUUGAGACAGAUAGACCAUUCUAAACAAGCAAAAAAGCGCUGCUGCUACAAAAUGCUUGUGGUGAUGCCUUUUUUAAUCAGCCUAAGGAACAGAGCACUUUUUCCCCAGAAGACAAUUCCAUGCUCUAUGAGAUUUUACCAUUACGCUUUAUUUCCUGGUAGGUCUCCUGCUGUUCACUUUGCUGCUAUUCUUGGCCAUGCCUCCUUGAAUCACACCAAGAAAUAAUUAACAACAAUAUAACUCUGGGUGUCAGCAGGUUUUGCCCACCAGAAGAAUGUUAGCCGUCAUGAAUGCUCUGUGCAGUACCCACUAAUAUUGUUCAGCUGUUCCUGAGUAGGCUGGUCCCUCUUAGUCACCAAUUUAUUGGUGAGAAAACUGGGACACGGGAAUUCAAACUCUCAUAGAAAGACUAAAGGACAGCCAAGGGAGAACACCUGAUCUUCGAGCUGUCACUCCUAAGCAACAACCACCUUUCUUCCCAUGGUGAUUACACUCCUGAGAAACAGUGGGUAUUUCACAACCCGACUACAUGUUUACAGUUCCCAGCCUCAGUAUGCCCGGCCUUAGAGGUGCUGGGACAAUGACUUCCCGUGCAUGUAGUGCUUGCACUAAGGGGCUGGAAUGGGACCCUCAGCCCUGGGCUGCAUCCCAGUCUCACUGGCAGUGAAGUGAAUCAGAAUUACUCUGGAGUGAAGGACGUGUAUCCAACAGCACCAUCUCUGGCCUGCACAACUUUGCAUAAAGCAGAUGGCCCUUGUGUUUGGCAUUGUUGGCCCCGCUUAACAUCCAUGCAGGCAAUGGCCAUACCUGGGAUUGCCACGGUGGGGAUGUGCAGAGCUUUCCCACCACCAUCUCUGCAGGCUUCUCCAGGGCAGGACAGAUCCAGCCACGGCCCAAAUGGGAUACCCUUUGCACCUUGAUCAGCUUCAUGCAUCUUCCUCUUUGGGGGCUUGCAAAAUUAGCGUUCAUAGAGCUUCCCCCAGCCCUGUUCCCUCUAAGUUACACCCACAUUUUUGUCAUGAGUGAUUCACUGUUAAAAUAAAAUAUUUCUCCAGCUAGAAUUCUAUGCUAUGUAUUAGAAACAGCUGAGCUGCCUUAACAGCAAGUUGCCUGGGUGUCUGUGAGACCAUGUGAGCCUGAGUGUAUGGACAUGCACACAUGUGUACAUAUGCUUUCUCUGUUUUUAAUUUGAGGUUCUCUUUUGCCCUUUCCACUCCUUUUCCUUUCA